AGAAAUCUUUAAUAUGAGUGAAAUCCUUUGCUGUGCACCAAACUGUAGAUCCUUCCUAAUAUUGUUCAGUGCAAAAGUACAACAUAGUUGAGAUUAGUUUGCGUGGUUAGAACGGGAGUGUUGAAUUCCUCAAAUACUGGAUGACUACAAUCCUCAUCAGACUUCGUCAGUCGUUAGGUUGCAGAUAAACUGUUUGGGGACACAAAUCAUCACCAUGGGGCUAGAAUUAUGGGGUUUUUUUGUUCCAUGAGCUUGAGGCUGUUGAUUGUGUUGACAACAAUAAAUUACAGGUACUCACGCAUAUUGACUCUUGUAGGCAGUGAAUUCUAACUAUAUGAGAGGUAACUAUGUACAUUUUAGAAAACAG